rnacentral:lncRNA from 1 species
GAAGAUGCCGAGAAUGGCCGGGGAUUACAGGUCUUAGUUAGAAUAUGUUGAAAAUGCAUGUGAGGGAGGGAAUGAUUGCACAUUAGUAAGAGUAAGGGAAGGCAAGUGCCAUGGCAUGGAACUUAUUUUCUUCUUUGUACGAGUCUCUAAGAGCAGGGGAUUCGAGAAUAAGAAAGAGCCUCUCGUCCAUUAAGGUCUAAGUUGCGCUGU